rnacentral:rRNA from 1 species
UACGUAGGUGGCAAGCGUUACCCGGAAUUAUUGGGCGUAAAGAGCGCGCAGGUGGUUAAUUAAGUCUGAUGUGAAAGCCCACGGCUUAACCGUGGAGGGUCAUUGGAAACUGGUUGACUUGAGUGCAGAAGAGGGAAGUGGAAUUCCAUGUGUAGCGGUGAAAUGCGUAGAGAUAUGGAGGAACACCAGUGGCGAAGGCGGCUUCCUGGUCUGCAACUGACACUGAGGCGCGAAAGCGUGGGGAGCAAACAGG